rnacentral:snRNA from 1 species
AGCUUAGAACAGUGGCAGUAUAAUAGGCAAUGAGAUUUAUCUGAGGCAUGAUUAUUGCUAAUUGAAAACCUUUCCCAGUACCCCUCUGUGAUGACUUGCAAUCUAGUCAGCAUUAGCAAGUUUUUUC